UGGGGAAUAUUGCACAAUGGAGGGAACUCUGAUGCAGCGACGCCGCGUGAGUGAUGAAGGAAUUCGUUUCGUAAAACUCUGUUCCAUGGGAAGAAAAGGACUGUACGAUAGGAGAAAGCUCCGGCUAAAUACGUGCCAGCAGCCGCGGUAAUACGUAUGGAGCGAGCGUUGUCUGGAAUUAUUGGGCGUAAAGAGUGCGCAGGCGGCUUUACAAGUUGGACGUGAAAUAUUGUGGCUCAACCACAAACGGGCAUCCAAAACUGCAAAGCUGGAGUUAAGGAGAGGUAAAUGAAAUUCCUGGUGUAGCGGUGAGAGGCGUAGAUAUAGGGAGGAAAACCGGUGGCGAAGGCGACUUACUGGACUUAAAAUGACGCUAAGGCACGAAAGCGGGGGGAGCAAACAGG
rnacentral:rRNA from 1 species